CAAUUCUGCAGUCACGUCCUGGGUCUCCACCCCAGCCCGCACUGGGAUCCUGUUCGGGGGGCUUCCAUUCUGGGCCUCGUGCUGGGGCUUCACCUGGUAGCCACACUCAGACCUUCCAGCCUCCCGCUUUACAGAGGAGGAAACUAACACAACAGAGAGCUCUCCAAGCUGCUCUGAGGAAGGCGCUGUGUAUUCGUGUUAUUUCCCUCUCACAGAUGAGGACACUCAGGGCGGAAAGAGCACUAAGGGAGGAGCCUACCAGGACCCCUUCUCAAGGUCUACGGGUGUCUUGAUCCACGUCUGUGCUGGCAGAAGUUGGC